rnacentral:rRNA from 1 species
GAUGAACGCUGGCGGCGUGCCUAAUACAUGCAAGUCGAACGGAGACAUUAGCAAUAAUGUCUUAGUGGCGAACGGGUGAGUAACGCGUUGGUGACCUGCCCCGAAGGAGGGGAUAACAGUCCGAAAGGAUUGCUAAUACCCCAUGUGGUCAUUUGGAUUAGAUGCCUUAUGACUAAACGGAUUUAUUCGCUUCGGGAGGGGCCUGCGUCCCAUCAGCUAGUUGGUAGGGUAAUAGCCUACCAAGGCGAUGACGGGUAGGGGACCUGAGAGGGUCGGCCCCCCACAAUGGAACUAGAAACACGGUCCAUACACCUACGGGUGGCUG